GCUGCAAGGAAAUCUGGCGCGGUUCAAUACCUCGUCUAGCCUGGGUUCCAGUAUCUAAUUUUUUUUUUGUUUUAACUGACAAACUCAUUUCUCUACUGGGACAGGAUGCUGUGCUGGCUGGAAGUUCCAUUUCUACAGCAAGAAUCCUAUCUGGAAACACAGAAGUUGUCCUCUAGCCACAGCAGCUCGAACUUUUUUGAUUGUCGUUGCUGCUUUCUCCCAUCACCCCCAUCCCCUUUUGACAAAGAUCCAACUGUAAAAAGUCUUACGUAACAGUUCAGGACUACUUCGGUUCUUUUACUGGAACAGAAGCUUUUUAUACACAUCCCAUAACGCAGCUGGAGAGAGUUAUGAAGUCAGUUAUUAUAAGGAACACAAAGGUUGCUUUCCAUUCUUUGCCUUUAGAUAAUUAAUUUUUUUGUUUUCUUAAAAUGGAGUAUUUAAAGAAGGAAGAAAUUCACAAGAAAUAAACUGUUGGAGAAUUUAGAAAAGUUUGAAGUUUUUACCACCUUUUCUAUCUCUAGUUUUGUGUGGCCAAACACUUGUGCCGCCUGGGGCGGUGGGGGUAGAGGCAAGCAUAGACAGAGAGGAACUAAGCCAGACAUGGACAAAGGCACGAGCCAAAACCAGACAGUCCUGGCCGUUCGAUAGGCCAGCAGUGGGUGAGACAGGUCAGCCAGCUGCAGGGGCGGGAGCGGGGGGGCGGGUAGGGACAUGGAUGUGUGAGGUGCUCAUGCGUGCGAUCGUGACUAGAUUCUGAAACUGCCAGCCAUUUUCCCAGCUCCGCUUUGUGCAAUCUAAAGGAAUGCAUCCCCUCUGAAGCAGUCUUGCCAGAGCCUAGUGAGGGAGAGAAGUAUGGUAAAUACCACAACAUAUGGAAUCAGAAAAUACCGGGAACUGGAGUGGGCAAGGGGGAAUGCAGAGGGUGUGGAAAUUUUUUAGUGAUCUGGAAUGUGUUGAGUGACAGGAAGUGCCCCAAGCUUCUCCCCCACCAACUCUUCUCAGUCGCGCCUGCUUUUGUCUAACUCUUGUAAUCUACACACUACUGCUUACAAAGCUGUCUGAGUUUAAGACAAAAAGAAACCUAAAAGUCUCCUUACUUCAUAGUACCUGUGAUAUGGAAGGAAUGUAAAAGCAUGACCCUUUAAGCCUAUGGACAUUUUUUCAGGUAUACAGGAGAAAGAUAAAAUAAUUUUCCACAGAAAAAUGAGAAUUAUGAAUUAUAUAGUUCAGGUUCCAAAUCUAAUUUUUAAAAGAAUUCUGAUUCUGCUACACUUUACAAAUGCUUAGGUUGGUUCCUAAUUUGAAGCAGACUUGUUUUAUUUGGUUAAUGCAUUGCAUUUGAACUUGUUUCUAUUUUCUUUGCAUAAAUUUGGACUUUGGGAGAAAAAUGCAAAGUAAUAAGUAGAAUGCACUUGGGGGAAAAAAGGAGGAUUUUUCCCUUCAUGGGUUGGAAAGUAUUUUAAAGGGUUGUUUUCUUGAAAAAACAAGCUCUCUCUUACUUUCUGCAUCUAUGCUAUAAAGAUAACUAUGCUAUAAUAAAUGUAAGGUAGAAAACUUUAAAGAGAAAAUAACAGUGUUCUAAGUGAAAAGCUACUUAGCAUUUUCCCAAACUUACACAUUAUCAACAGAAACACUAAAAAUUAAGAGAAAAGCAGCCAACUAAUUAAAUAGCUAGCCUUAUUUUGGGGGUAUGGGAUAGAAAAUUAAGUGUGAAUAAAAUGAUACUUGGGAAUGUUUCUCCCUCGUACCACAAAGGAUGUUAGUGGUCAGCCUACGAGUUAAUCCUUCCUAGCAUGGCUCUGAGCCUUCAUGCCGAGCAGACGUUAUUCACAUGACGAUUCGAAAAGUCCAUUCAUAUAUCUCGCUACCUGGAUUUGAAUAGAAACCAGACAGCAAUUCUUUAGUUCCAGCCACCAUUCGCCCCACUGGACAAUAGCGAUUUGUUAGCACAGAGUCACAGGCUGUGGGACACAAAGCUUGGAGCUGCAGAAAGAUGGGGGAUUCAGAGAACAGGAAAUUACAGGCUCGAUGCACUCCUGGCAGCUCUGAGAAUACAAAAAAAAAAAAAAAAAAAAGGCAACACAGAGAUGCCAUGUUUAAGAGCUACUUCUAGCUUUUUUAACCACCUCCAAUGUCAUAAAAGCUCUAUUGUUGGAGUACAUAAAGUCACGAGUCCCAUGUGCUCGCUUUUCUCACUACAGGGAACUUCAUUCAAUGCCCUUGGCACAGUAAGAAAUAUCAAAAGCAUCCAGAGUUGAUUAGCUGUACACUCUGGUAGAAAGGAGAGCAUUUUAUAAAUAAAAUGUCAGGAAAAAAAUACGCUUAGUAACACAAGUGACAUGUAAUAAAAUUAGUAUCUUUUUAAAAUUCCAAAAGAAAAUAAUUAAAUACAUCAAAACUCGAGGGACAUUAAUUUCUCUCCAAAAUAUCACAUAAAAUCUAUUAUUUAAUUCCAUCAAAAGUUUCUUUAGAAUAUAUAUACCAAUUUAGAGGCUAGCAUUAUACAGAAAACUUCCGAGUUCUGGGUUGUAUUUUCCAAAACAAAGAAUUAAAAUCAAAGCCCCAAGAAUUUAUUCUGGAAUACUAGAAAAAAAAACUACACUUUAUUAUCAAAUUAGUGUAGCUCCCUGGCUAAAUCAGAAAUUGCCUCUACUUCCUUAAGACCUAAAAAAUAAAUUUAAUGGAUAUUCUAAGUGAAUGAGGGAGAGAUACUUCUCCAAUCUCAAGAAACGAGCAGGGGGAAACAGUACAUGGAUUCUUGUCCAGGCCCUCAUGCUGCAACCUGAGCACCAACAGGCCAGACUGGUGUCCAUUUCAACAGGAGGAGGAGACCCUGCACAAGGAAGCUAUAAAUGGUUUUGCUCUUCUGCCCUUCUUCUGUGAUCCAUUAGUAAACACAAGUUCGAAAUGAUAUCAUAUCUGAAAGAUUUAUCAAAUGAGACCAUGAAUGGUCAAAAAAGGCUUUGGAAACAUCAAUUAUUCUAAUCUAUUUGGUCCCAUGAUAAUACGGUGUGAAGCUGAACACGUGCCAGAUUUAAUGGUGCUGGUAAACAUAAUAGCAACCUUUAAGCUACCAACAAUUGGGCUUCCUCAAAUACUAUUAUUACUCACCAAACACAAACAUCAGUUACUAUCCCAAAGUGCGUUGUCCAAUACAGUAGCAACUAGCUCUAUGUGGCUAUUUUGAUUUAAAUUAAUCAAAAUUAAAUAAAACAGAAAACUCAGUUCUUUAGUUAUACACACCACAUUUCAAGCACUCAAUAGCCUCAUGUGACUAUCAUAUGGGAUAGCCCAGAUAUAAGACAUUUCUAUCACUGCAGAAAGUUCUACUGGACAGUGCUGAUCUGGGCUAUGCUUAUAUCCAGCAUACCCAUCUUCAACUACACAUCCAGCUGGACAUGAAAAAAUUUAAGUAAAAAAUACAAUGACAAGUAUGACAAGAUAGCUAGUGCCAUAAUACUUGAGAAAUACCUUUAAAAAAAAAAAAAGCAUUUGAAACCAAGGAUGAGAAAAGAGGUCCAGGUCCAUUUUUUUCCCCCUUGGUUGCAAUGAAGAAGUUACAAAGAAUAUUAGAUAGUACUGGAAGACAGGUAGUCAUGGCCAGAGUACGUGAAAUGCUCCAGAAUGGUACUAAUUUAGUGUCAAAAACUUCUUCCUAAACAUAUGAGACAAUUAAUUCAAUAGUUUCAUGGUAUCACAGCAAUGGACAAUAUGUGUAACAAAAAACCAGGACCUAGAAGUCACUUGGUCUUGAGUAGGUUUAUGAGUAUCAACUUUGCUAGCUAGAUGAUAUUAGGCAAAUUAAUUUACCCCUCUGAAACUUAGUAUCCUUACCUGCAAAAUGGGGAAAUAGACACCCUGCAGGAUUUAUAUAGAACGGCUCGCAGUGAAGUAUGUAAAGUAUCUAGUAAGGUGCCAGGCACAUGGUAGAGAUUCCAAAAAAGAGUAGCUAUUAUUAUUACAUUUUUCCCCUUAAAUACUCACAAUGUGACUCCUUGUAGACUAUCAGAUAGAUACUAUUCAAAACACAAGGCAAGCCUUCAUAAACAAGUAUCCUAAAAUAUUAAUGCUGGCCAUGUCAGCAAUUCAACUGGAAUAAAAUGAAACAUUUGGACAGGAGAUUGCUUUACCAGCCGAUGUGUGACCAUGCUGUCCCAUGCAGGCUGCUUUGUCAAAAAAAAUCUCAUGUCAUAUUUGGCUUACAUAAUCAGCAUGUUCUCUUGUGUUCAGUCUUAUACUUAGGGAUGUAGGGUUAGAUUUUAGAUAAGACGACAAAGGUCUAUAAACAGAAAGCAAAUUUUUAUCUGAGUACAAAGCAAUGAUCUCCAAAUACUGGGAAGCUGAUAUCUGUUCAGGAAAACUUAAAAAGCUAUAUUAGAAAUACAAUGAUAAGAAGCCUUAUUCUCCCUUGCUGAGAUGACAGAAGCAUACAGAAAAACUUUAAAUGAAAAUCCUUAAAGAAAUGAUGAAUUAGGUCUUUUUUCCAAGAAACAUUUUAAACAAUCUAGAUUGUAUAAUAGUAACAGUAGUAAUGAAUUGGCAAAACACCCAGUGCAUCAUAGCCUUCGAUUACUGUGAACUUGGUUUAUGGUCAAGACCGAGUGCAACAAAUGGUACUACCCACAAGCUUCUGUGGUUUUAAAAAAAAAUUUAGAAAGCCAAAGGACUUCUAUGAUGACCACGUCUUAACCCCCAAAUCUACCAUCAAAUAAAUUGGACGUGAUAAACAUGCAUGUGAGAUUCUUAAAUUCGGAUGCCAUUCUCAGCCUAUCUUAUGCCUGCUUGGUGCAAGAAACAUGAGUCUUAGGGUCAAGUGAACAGGGGCUGGAAUCCUGGCUCUGCCCCUUAUUUACUACAGGAUCUUGUACAAGUCACUUCCCCUCUUUGUCUCAGACUCUUCAUUCAUAAAAUACAAAUAUCAAUCCCUUCCUGCCAGGCUGUUUUCAGAGUCAAGGAUAUGUAUAUAAACACUGACCAGUGUUUCUGGUACAUGGAAAACACUCUGGAAAUGCCAAUUCUGUGAACACUCAGUAAGGGCUUGAGGUUCUGUUCAUCGUCUGAGACCACAAAGAAUGGAAAUAGAAGGGUUCCAGGCUGGUUCAUAGCACAGGCCAUUCUCCAUUUAAAUUUUAAAUUAAAACAAACAUAUGAAUGUAAAAACUGUCAACACUGCACAAAUAACUUGAAAUCUUAGAAACAUAAAUAUUGAAUGAACUGAAUGAAUACAGAAAAAGUAUUAUUUGAAAAGUGAGGUGGAAUGUCAGACUUCAAUAAUGUAAGGUAUAAUUUAAUGCUGAUACAAAGUUAGUACCAUUAAGUAUAAAAAAAAAGAACCCUUUUCUUAAAAUAAGAAUUAAUAUUUCCUAGAGACUCUUCUGAGUAAGAUUUCUACGACCUCCUCUUGGUGAUUAAAACAACAACAUCAAAGUCCUAAAAUACUGUCCAAGAAUGAGAAAUUAAAAUAAUUUGAAAACACAGAAAAUUCAUGUCUUAAAAUCAAAGAUUUAAGAAGGAAUUCCUGGGCAAGGUAUUUUCCUACUACAUCUGUGGAUUCAUUUUAAAGUUGAUAAUAAUCCAGCAGGAAUGAGAAAUCAGUGUUUCUUAAUGAUGCCAAAUAAGUGAAAAAUGCUGGAUAUACCACAUAACCUUUUGGAGGACAUAAGGCAGUAGAUUCUCUAAAGCAAACAGCGGAAGUGUAAGGGAGAUUGUGCGAUGUAGUUUAGAAGGAGGGUUUUCUCCCAGAAAUUGGCUGAACUAGAUAUGAUGUCAUAUCUUAGCUCUGCCACUGUUGAGCUAGAUGACUUUUAACAAGUUGCUUCUCUCUGAGUCUCUAUUACCACUGGUGGUCCAAAGAACACAUUCAUACUAAAAGCUAAAGAACAGACAGCACUUAAAGGUAAGAAUCUGGAUAUGCCAGAGGGUUCUCCAUCCUGUCUCUCCAAUACCUCACCACCACAAAAUGUUUUACAGGACUGCUGAAGCAGACAGACGGAUUAGACAGAUAAAUAAAUAGAUAAUGAAUGAAUGGAUGAAUGAAUGAUUCUGAUAAAUCACAAAAGCUCUCCAGAGGAAAGGUUCCUCAAGAACCUCAGCAGAUGGUACUGGGUUCUUACUGAAUGCUAAUCAAGCAGAACCUUUUUUCCAGUCAUUCAUCUAAUCAAUAUUAAGCUUCUAAUAUGUAUCAUGUACAGUAUUAGACACAGGUUGACCAAAUAUAUUACCUGCCUUCAUGGAGCUAACAAGCUAUAAACUGGGAUAACCAUGGGCCAGAAGCCCUAUCAUUCAAGAAAUGGCAGGGGCCAGCGACGGUAGCUCACACCUGUAAUCCCAGCACUUUGGGAGGCAAAGCUGGGAGGAUCACUAGAGCCCAGGAGUUCAAGACCAGGCUGGGCAAUAUAAUAAGAUCCUUGUAUCUCCAAAAAAAAAAAAAAAAAAAAAAAAAAGGUAAAAAUUAGCCAGACUUGGUGGUGUGUGCCUCUGGUCCCAGCUACACAGGAGGCUAAGGCAGGAGGAUCACUUGAGGUUGAGGCUGCAGGGAGCCAUGUUCACCCCACUGCACUACAGCCAGGGUGACAACAAGAACCUUUCUCAAAAAAAAAAAAAAGAAUAAAAUAAAUAAACGGCAGUGAGCUGAGUUCAGAAAUUUUGGGAAUGGUCCAAUGAUUUGGGAAACUGCCUUGCCAUUUGUUGAAGUCAAACUAACAUAAUUCAUAAAAUAAUGGAAAAAUACGCUCAGCUCCAUUUCAUUCAACCAAAGAAUUAUGCUAAACUAUAAGAUCUUAACAGACUUUCAAUGGAGUCAUCAAGCCAUUAAGAAAAUAAAAUACCUUCAAAUACACAGGCUGGUUCCAUAAUGACCAUUAGUCAGAUCUAUGGUAAACCACUCUCUCAUAUAAAAACUGAGUCACCUUUUAAUAGAUGUUUAAGAACAAGAUAAUUUCUGGAGAGGAUGAAAUAAAGCGAGUCUGGGUAUGAAAUGAUGUUGCAGGAGCAGAUCAUGAUACACAGGAGCAUUAAAUGUAAAGCAUGUUUCCUUCAUCUCCUUCCUGAAGACUAUGUUCUCAGCAGUUACCAUUUCCUUUAAUGACACAUGCUAUAAUGAUCAUGAUUACACAGCUAGGUAGUACUCAACCCAUGACUAAUCUGGGCUCUUAACAACCAAGAAUAUUUGAGACAUGGACGAUAACUAUGAACAGAAUGAGAGACCAGAGUCACUAUUGGGUUUCUGUGGCAAUUAAUCUUACGAACCAGAAAGACGCCUACAGAGUGUCUAAAUAUUAACCCCUCUUCCAAUUGGAAUUUACUCUUUGUUGUCCUAGGACUAAUACAAUGAAGUUGUUGUUACCAAUGGGGUAAAGUACACGCAUUUGCCACAAUGAAGCAAUAUUAUCUCCACAGAGCAGGAAGCUCCCAAGAUCCAAAAGUUCCAAUUAAGAAAUUUAUAUUCCAGUUACCUGAUAUUAAAGAUGUUGGAUUUCCACCUAGAUUUUUCUCACUAGUAGACUCAAUAUCAUGUGGCUUUUUCUUUUUCUUUGUUCACUGAAUAUCAAAGUCAAGUGGAAAAGAGGUCUGGCAAAUGUAUUCAGAGCAAAUUAGACAGUUACACCAAAAAAAAAGAAGACCCCAAUUUGGUUAUCUGUUAUUGUGACCUAGAUUUUGGCGGAAUUACCUCUAUGUGGUUCUUUUUUUUUUUUUUUUUUUUUGAGACAGGGUCUCACUUUGUUGCCCAGGCUGGAGUGUAGUAGUGCAAUCUUGGCUCACUGUAACCUCCACCUCCCAGAGACAAGCAAUUCUCCUGCCUCAACCUCCCAAGUAGCUGGGACCACAGGCAUGCACCACCAUGCCCACCUAAUUUGUGUAUUUUUUGUAGAAACAGGGUUUUGCCAUGUUGCCCAGGCUAGUCUCGAACGCCUGGGCUCAAGCAAUCCACCCGCCUUGGCCUUCCAAAGUGCUGGGAUUACAAGCAUGAGCAACCAUGCCCGGCCACCAUUUGGCUUUCUAAUACCAUUACAUUUUGUCAGGCUCAUUUCUCUGUAUAAUCCUCUAUUACUAGAACAGAAAAAUUCCUUUUGCCUGGCCAUUUAAGAGCUUCUAGGUAUAGUUUAAUCAUUCAAAGGAUAUCUGUUGACAGCUUAGUAUAUCCCAAACCCUGUUCUAGGCACCAGGCACACAGCAAUAAACAAGACAAAGGUGUUGUACUCGGGCACUAUAGUCACAGAGACUUGACUCUGUAUCAGCUUGAGCACUUACUGACAUUGUGAAAUGUGCCUCUCUGAAUCUCAGGUUCCUUCCCUGGCGGGGGCGGGGGAAAUAAUACCACUUUAUAGGGCUGUUGUAAGAAUUAUAUGUUUGCCUGUGUCUAGCAUAGCACCUAGAACACCACAGAUGCUUCGUAUGUAGUAGCUAUGGUUUUACAAAUUGCGAAUAUUACUAUUAUCCACCCUACUUUUUUUUUUUUUUGAGACAGAAUCUCACUCUGUCACCCAGGCUGGAGUGCAGUGGCGCAAUGUCGGCUCACUGCAACCUCUGCCUCCUGGGUUCAAGCAAUUCUUUGCCUCAGCCUCCUGAGUAGCUGGGAUUACAGGCACCCGCCACGCCUGGCUAAAUUUUUGUAUUUUCAGUAGAUACAGGGUUUCGCCAUCUUGGCCAGGCUGGUCUUGAACUCCUGACCUCAUGAUCCACCCACCCCAGCGUCCCAAAGUGCUGGGAUUACAGGUGUGAGCCACUGCGUCCGCCUGGCUUAUCCACCCUACUUUCAUAUUCAUGUAUAUGAGAAUAUACAUGAAUAUAGUUUUAAAAAAUAACAGGUUUCAAAGGCAUAAGUAUAUCUAAAAUACGUGCUACAGGUGUUAAGAGCCAAGCAGAACCAUUAAUGAAUGAAAUGCUACUGUAUAUCCCAAACACAAAACUACUUUAAAGUUGGGAUAUUAAUGGUGAAGUAGAUCACUGUCCUCACACAGAUUUCAAAGGGUAGGGCAAUUUCUCUCUAGUAGUAUUACUAUUUCAACAAAUUUAAUCAGAAAUUGUAUAGAAGAAAAAUAUCUAAAAGAUUUGGAGUCUCAUGUCCUACCACAGCCAUCAAGAAGGGCAUAGAAAGCAUGUCUUUCCUCUGAAGACUAUUAUAAAAGCCUCAUAAAAAUGUUCUCUGAAGGAAUAUUCUUAGGCUGACUGUAGUGAUAUACCUUGUAAAAUAACUUACUUUUUCAUCUUAUCGUAGCAGUAUGCUUACUACAGAUGAACUGAGAACAAAAAUAUAAAGACAAAAAUUUAAUCAUAACUUUUUAAGUUAUUUAUAAUCUCACAAGCUAAAGAUACCUGCUGUCAACAUUUGAGAAAUUUCCUUCUAGUCUCAUUCAUUUUAAUUAUGAGUGACUUUUAAAAUACACUUGAUCCUUAAACAUCACAAGGGGUUAGGGGGACCAACCUCCCAUGCAGUCAAAAAUCCAUGUAUAAUUUUUGACUCCCCCAAAACUUUACUAAUAGCCUACUGUUGACCAGAAGCCUUACUGAUAAGUUGGUUAAUACAUAUUUUAUAUGUUAUAUGUGUUAUAUAUUGUAUUACUAUAAUAAACUAGAGAAAAGAAAAUGUUAUUAAGAAAAUCAUAAGGAACACAAAAUAUAUUUACUAUUCAUUAAGGGGAAGUAUAUUGUCACAAAGGCCUUCAUCCUCACUGCCUUCACACUGAGUAGGCCAAAGAGGAGGAGGAAGAGAAGGGGUUGGUCUUGCUGUCACAAGGGUGGCAGAAGAGGUGGAAGGGGAGGCAGAAGAGGCAGCCAUACUUAGUGUAACUUUUAUUGAAAAAUAUCCACAUAUAAGUGGACCUGCGUGAUUCAAAUUCAUGUUGUUCAAGGGUCAACUGUACUAGGAGUUUUUCUGCCACUAUACAAAUGACACUGAUAUAUUAAUAUGUAGAAAACUUAGAUAAUACAGAAAAACAUAAAAAGGAAAAUUUGUCACCUAUAAUCUCACUCACAGAAAAAAUUCUUACUAAUAUCUUAGUGUAGUUCAUACACAAUGGAAUCCAUUCUCAACACCGAUUUUUCACAAUCAUUUGUUCACUUACAAGCAUAUUUUCAAGUCAUUAAAAAUGGUUUUUGUAGAUAUCUGGAUGGUUUCCAAUUAUUCUCUAAUAUAAAUAUUAAUUCAAUGAACACACUUAUACAGAAAUCACUGUCCAUAUUUCUGACAAUUUUUUUUGGUCUGACCAAUGUACAUCCCUGCCAGCAGGGACUGACAGUAUCUGUCUCAUCCUAAGCUCGCAAACACUGAGAAUGUGCUAUACAUAAUUAGCUGCUACCCAAAUAUAAUACAGUUUCUGUUUACUCAAUAAAGAGAAAAAAAGGGAGUUUUAAAGGAAAACUCAAAAUGAAAUAAACAUAAGUAGGGAUCUCCCUAAGAAGACAAAUUAUACAUCCCUAACAAAUACCAGGCAGUUGAUAGCAAUAUUGAAAACCCUCUAACAGGACACAGUAUAAUAUUAGGUUCUAGAAAUCUCAGAAGUAAAAACAAAUCAAAACAUUCUUCUCAUAGAUGUAUUUCAUUAGUUGGAACUGAUGAAAUGAAUCAAGAAUCACUCUCACCAUUGGAGAAAAAAACUGACAUCGAAAACACUGUUCAUAAAUUAAGAUGCAUAAAAAUCAAUGUUUUUAUGUCUGAAUUAUUUCAAAUUUUUGUCAGCAAACAGUAUUAAAUAUGGAUAUAUACUUUGGUUUCCCAAAUAUAACAGAAAAUUCUAUAAAUUCUUAUCAAGGUAAACAAAUAACCAAAAAUGGCAUUUAUUCAACAAAUACUUACUGAACAACUUUGUUUUGGGUACUUUUAUAUAUAAGAGACUCAAAGUUGUCAGAAAGAGUUCUUUCUUCAAAAAUCCUGCCUUCAGUACCUUCACAAUGUGGCCCUCUUAUAUCACAGAACAUUUGCCCUGCCUACCUGUUGAAAUAUCACAUGUCUCAGACUGUGGCUAGAAAAAGGAAAACAUUUCAAGACAAUGAAUAAUCAACUUAAAUAUCAAAAUUUCUUGGGAGGAGGAAAAGAGGCAAUACAAUCCAACGGGAUAGAUUCCAUUAGCAUGGCCUCUUACCAGCACACAGGAAUGUUUACCCAAGUACCUAUAGUCAAGAGGAAUUCGAGUAGCUAAGAUUACAGGUGCAUACCACCAUGCCCGGCUAAUUUUUGUAUUUUUAGUAGAGAUGGGGUUUCACUAUGUUGACCAGGCUAGUCUUGAACUCCUGACCUCAGGUGAUCCACCCACCUUGGCCUCCCAAAGUGCUGGAAUUACAGGGGUGAGCCACCGUGCCCAGCCUUAUUUUCUUGACUCAUAGGAAUAAAUAUGUCUAGUAGGCCCUCGAUAAAUACUUACUGAAUUAAGAUUACAGCAAGUUAGAGAAACUUGAUGUCUUAUUUGUUAAAGGGCCAAGUAGAAUAAAGACUUUAAAAUAAGAAACUUACAUACCAUUUUUCCCCCUACCCUUCCCCUCACAUAAAUUUGGUCAACAUACUUCUUAGCCUGGCAGAGCGGUUCAUGCCUGUAAUCCCAGCACUUUGGGAAACUGAGGCAGGAGGACUGCUUGAAGCCAGGAGUUUGAGACCAGCCCAGCCAACAUAGCAAGACCUCAUCUCUGCAAAAAAAAAAAAAAAAAAUCAAAAAAUUAGCCAGCUGUGAUGGCACAUGCCUACCGUCCCAGCUACUUGAGAGGCUGAGGCAGGAGGAUGGCUCAAGCCCAGGAGUUGGAGGCUGCAGUGGGCUAUCAGGCCAUUGUACUCCAACCUAAAAGACCAAGUGAGACACUUUCAAAGAACAAAAAACAAAAACACAUACUUCUCGAAUUUCUUUUAUUUGUCUAUUUUCAGAUCAGAUUAUUUUUAGUUGUUGAGAAAAGGUCUAAAAAGCUAGGAAAUGAAAAGUCUUAGUAUUAAAUUAUUAUAUUCUGACAUUAUGUCUCCAGGUUAGCUCCACGCAGAGGCAGCUGACAAACACAGCUUCAGCAAAAGUCAUGAUCCAUUUAUGGUUCACUGUCAACAAAUAGUGACCGGGGACAUGAAACAGCAUGAUCAGGGAAGAAAUUCAGAGUGGAUGAAACAAAGGGUGUGUUUAAGAGCAGUGAGGAAAAGAUGUGGCCUAGCAGUAGGAUAUUGGGGGCCCAAAAAUAAAAGCCCAUGUCAGGUUAAAGCAUUUAGAUUUUUAUCUAAAGAUUGUCAGGGUAUCAGGUUGUCAAGCAAAGUUAAAUUUGCAUUUAGCAACUGGAUAGAAGAUAGAUAAGAAUUGGGAAGACUGGAAGCAAGGAGACCACUUGGGCCGUUGCAGUUAUUCAGAUGAAAAAAAAUGGUUUUGACCACAGUGGUGGCAGUAGAGAUGCAAAGGGCUGUCACAUACUACAACAUAAGUGAAUUUUGAGGACAUUAUGCUAAAUGAAAUCACAAAACGACACAUACUGUAUGAUUCUACUUAUAUAAGAUAUCUAAAGUAGUCAAAUACAUAGAAACAAAGUAGAAUGGUGAUUACCAGGAACUGGAACGAGGGGAAAUGGGAGUUGUUUUAAUGGGUACAGAAUUUCAGUUUUGCAAGGUGAAAAAGAUCUGGAGAUCUGUUGCACAACAAAGUGAAUAUAUACUACUGAACUGUAUAUUUUAAAAGGGUUAAGAUGGUAAAUUUCUUACAGUCUUAAUCCACAACUUUUUUAAAAAGAUGCAAACUGGAGUGCUUUUGUGUGUGUGUUUUACAUUUUGCUCUAUUCAACCUCUGAAAAACAUCUACUGCUAUUUUCCUGAGCUGUAAAAUGAGUUAUCACCAAAUGGUAUCUGAUUUGCAAGGCACCAUAAGGUUUCACACGACCCCAAAUAUCUUACUGUAUUACUUUGUCAUGGUACUUAAUAUUUCCUCCAAAGACAUUUAUUCUUUUUUAAAAAGGAACACGCUUAAAAUAUUAACUGAAAAAUAACUCAAAUAUAAGAAGUAUUAUAGAAUAAAAAGUGGAACCUCAUCAACCUUCUCACAACCCUACUCCUGGCCUAAAAGUAUUAUUAAUUAGAUCAACUAAGUUUACCUAAUGUAAAUACACAGGAAAAUAUAAAUAUAAAGGAAAAAGUCAUUCUUUAAGGCCACUCUUAAGUGACUAACACAAAGUCAUUAACUAGAGAUGGUAUUUUAACACAAGUACUUGAGUCCUAUGUUUUACCUCAAACUUUUAAACCCAGUUGCUGUCUAGCUUUUUCUUAAAAGAAACUUUUUUAUUCAAGUGUAAAAAUACAGUAAAGUGCACACAUCUCAAACAGUUCAACGAACUUUUACAAAGUGAACAUACCUAGGAAACCAACAUCUAAAUCAAGAUGUAAAACAUUACUAACACCUCAGAACCUUGUGCCCUCCAGCUAUUUUAUCGUCUCAAUAAAGGUAACCACUAUUCUGAUCUCUAUCAUCUAGUUUUGUCUAUUUUUGAACUUAUAUAAAGAGAAUUCCAUACUAUGGAAUAUUUUGUGCCUGACUUCGUUUCCUCAACAUCCUGUCUGGGAGACGCAACCAUGCUGCGGCAUGUUGUGAUGGUGUGCCCUUAUUACUACUGUGCAGUAUUCCGUUAUAUGUAUUCUCCCACACUUAUUUGUCCAUUCUACUAUUGAUGGAUAUUUAGUUGUUUCUAGUUUGGGACUAUUACAGAUAAUGCUAUGAUAUACAUUCUUGUACAUAUCUUUCAGUGCACACAUUAUGCAUUUUUGUUGGGUAUAUGCCUAGAAAUGGAAUUGCUUGGCUGGACACAGUGGCUGACACCUGUAAUCCCAGCACUUUGGGAGGCCGAGGCGGGCGGAUCAUGAGGUCAGGAGUUCUAGACCAGCCUGGCCAACAUAGUGAAAUCCCGUCUCUACUAAAAACACAAAAAUUAGCCGAGUGUGAUGGCACAAGCCUGUAGUCCCAGCAACUCGGGAGGCUGAGGCAGGAGAAUCGCUUGACCCUGGGAGGCAGAGGUUGCAGUGAGCCGAGAUCAUGCCACUGCACUCCAGCCUGGGCGACAGAGCGAGACUCCGUUUCAAAAAAAAAAAAGAAUUGCUUAAGUUCAAGUUUCCCAGAUGCUACUAGAGGUUUCAAAGGUUUGUAUCAAUUUAUAUACCACUUCUGCCAACAGAAUUUGAGUGUUCCAUUUGUUUUCACCAACAAUUUGUAUGUCAGUGUGGUGGGUAUGCAGUGGUAUAUCCUUUUUUAAAAUUUCAUUUCUCUGAUAUCUAGUGAUGCUGAGUACCUUGGGCUAGAUUCUGAUAGAUAUUUGAGGGGCAGACUUAAUGAAUCUUAGUAACCAAUUGGUUGGAGAGAAAGAAGAGGAAAAAUCUAGAAUGACAGAAAAAUAAAAGACAUUUGGGGAAAGGGAGGGAACAGAAAACACAUUCAUUUCUGAAAUGAUUAGGUUGUGUUUGCCCAAGAGUGAGUGACAUGUAAGAUUCAAGAGUUAACUACAACUGAGCCAGGCGCGGUAGCUCAUGCCUGUAAUCUUAGCACUUUGAGAGGCCAAGGCUAGCGGAUUGCUUGAGCCCAGGAGUUUGAGAUCAGCCUCGGCAACAUGGCAAAACUCCAUCUCCAGAAAAAAUACAAAAAGUAGCCAGGCAUGGUGGCAUGUGCCUGUAGUCCCAUCUACUUGGGAGGCUGAUGUGGGAGGAUCACUUGAGCCCAGGAAGUUGAGGUUGUGGUUACAGUGAGCUUUGAUUAUACCACUGCACACCAGCUGAGUGACAAGAAAAAGUUAACCACAACUACUGAAGACUCAGUGAGACAUAUGAAGGUUCUCCCAUAAAACUCCCAUAAUUUAAAAGACAAAAAAACUUCAACACAAUACCGCCAUAUCUCAGGUGGUAAAGAAAAUAAAUUUACAAUCCUAAGGAGGAAAAAUAAACUAAAGUACAAUACCUCAAAACCAGAAUCUCAACCUGGGUACGGUGGCAUGUGCCUGCAGUCCUAGCUACUUGGGAGGCUGAGGCAGAAAUAAAUAUCAUAGAUGCUUAAAAAUGCCCCACUAUGACUUUUAGGAAUGCCUGUGAAGAUAUAAAAAAGAAAUCUAUAGAGUAAUGAAUCCUAGGCAAAUAUAAUUAAAGAAAAAAGUUAAAGCUUUCAUAAAAGACAAGUUCACUAACUGCAUGGUUUCAUGAAGACAUCAGUUAGACAAAAAUCUCCUAUUUUCAGACAAGAAGGUCAUCUCCGACACCUAUCAAAUUUCUCUAUUGUGAGCGCCUAAAGAAGAUAAGCAAGGGCAAUAAUUAAUCAACAAAUAUACGAGGAUUAAGGAUGAGGAACAAGAUUUGGAACUAGGCUCUGUCCUCUGAGAUUCACCUCAUUGUUGGAAUUUCUAGCUAAUUACUAUUUUCCAUCACAUAUUAGGUGGUAAUUAAGAUCUUGGCAUCUGUCUUCAAAUCUCAGCUCUGUCCCUUCUUAGCUAUGUGACCCUCAGCAAACGACUUUUCUCUAGCUUCAGUUUUCUCAUUUCCAAAAUGAGAAUAAUCAUCCACAUAACUACUGUCAACAUUAAAUGAGGUAAUAUAAGUAAACCACUUAGUACAAUGCCUGACCCAUAGUAAGUGCUCCAUAAAUGUUAGCUGAUAUUAUCAUAUUAUCAUCUGUAAAAUGGAGACCAAUUCACACACCCUUAAGAUUGAAAAGAAGUAAAAUGACACAUACAAUGCCUAGGUACACAGGAGGCACUCAAAUGGUAGAUGUUACCCCUUACACUCUUUGGGAACUCCAUAUCAUUCAGUAUCAAACUGAGUAUGAAAUGGUACAGUGCAGCAAUUAACGCUAUGAAGCUGGAUUUCCUGAGUUCAAAUCCUGGCUCUGCCACUUAAUACCUGUGUGAUCUUGGGCAAUUUAUUUCCCUUACUGUGUCUUUCUAUUUUCAUCUGUAAAAUGGGAAAAAUAAUAAGUAUCUAUCUUACUGGGUUGUUAUGGGGAUAAGACAAGCCCUCUUUUAAGUGCUUUACAUAUAAAGUCCUAAAAAUAAAACCUGGAACAUAAGUGCUAUAUAAAUAUUAACUAUUAUUAUCUUAAUAACAGAGGUACACAUGCUUUGAGGCUGCUGCACAUCAAAGAAAUGAAUUUGGACAUAAGCAACUUAAUAUUUUUCUUGUAUUUAAGAGAGGCCCAAUGGAAAUAUUCAUAUACCCAUCUUCAAAAAUGGGAGGAAAAAAGGCUGAAGGAAUAGCAAAUUACAACACAGGAACUAUAUAACUACUAAGUAAAUGUGACCUCAUCCAUCCAGAAACAGGUAUGAAGGAAAUGUAUUUUCUAGCUCCGCCUUAACCAUGUAAUCACUCAGAUAAAGGAGUCCUACAUUCCAGAGAGAUAGAGGAAAAUGAUUUUUCUUGCUCUUACCUUACAACAAACUGAUAACCAACACAGCUAACCUUUGUGCGUUCUCACAUAAUUUUUAAGUGAAGAAAACAUCUCUUAGGACAAAAUAAUCAAUUCUGGAAGCUUUCUUAGAAAUGCCUUCCUGCCUUAUACUAGUCUUUUCUUCCCAUACUCCACAAACUUCAUCCCUGGGCAAGUCAGAAGAGGUAUCUAAAGACGCAAAAAUGCAAGCAAGUAAACAUUCUUUAGAACUGAAAGGAAAUCCUAUGCUUGUUCUUACUUAGAAAGUUAUGGAGUUAAUCCUGUGGACUGGCUUAUGUUGCUGACUUACAAAGCAAACAAAAUACUAAAUUGUAUAAGCAACAAAUAAAAUCAGUGAAUUGUAAUUUAUCUGUCUAAGAGUCUGUGCCUCCUACCAGACUGUAACUUCUCGAAAAAAUACUUUAUUCAUCACCAGCAUCUAGCACAUUGCCUGGCACACACAGAAGGUGUUCAAUAAGUGUUGACUGAAUACAGUCAGAGAGCACCUCCUCCUUGUACAAGGUACUGUUAGGUGGCAGACAGCCAAUAAUGGUUCACUUAGGUUGAUGUCAAAGAUUUCUGUUUGAAAUUUAAAUAAAGCCAGGUCUGGCUAAAGAGCUGCAGCUGUAGUUGUACCUGCUCUCAACCCAGAUUUAUUCCCAAUAGCAAGGCUACCCUCUUCUGCAUGCCUGCUGAUAUUUCUCUCAAAUGAUGAGAAGCCACUUCCCAUGUGGCCCUAGUGUGUAAUUCUUUCUGCUCAACAAAGGAGGCAGUCUAGAAUCUUUGGUCAUAAAAAUAUGAUGGUUAGCAACAGGAAGCAACUGCUGGGCAAGCCUGGUACACUUCCAAAUGAAAUCUUUCCAUCUAGAAUUCUCAAUUGAAGGUGCCAAACUCAAUCCAGAACAUCUGGAUUUGCUCCUCUGGCUUCAAGCGUUCUCCAAGAGAGGCUAGGAAAAAGUACGCUCUUGCCGGUACGUGUAGGUGUAAUUGUAUACUCAAAUAUUGUACUUUGGAUAAGAGUCCAAGACUUGGCAAAUGGAUGGAAUGUAGCACAUGGAACUGCCUGAAUAGAUACCCACGCUAAGAGAAGGGUUUUCUUGCAAAAUAUAAACAGGCAAGGUGUGAAUUGCCCCUCUGUGUCACAAGUUAGAAGAAUUCACCCAGGAGAAUAAGUUCUUAGGAAUCAGUGGGGGAAUAAUGCUCAGAAGCAUGUGACAGGCAAAACAGCACCAUUCCCUAGGAAAACGGCAAAUUUAUCAAACAAUAACUCUUUACUUCUCCUACCCCAAUAAGAUAAAUAUAUGUGAUUAUAAUUUGAUCCAUACAGAAAAAAAUAUUGAGCUGCAAACUCUGGCAAACAGACAGUGCUGAAAUUAAACAUUAUGAGCUUUGGCAGCUGCACUAUGUACUCUCAGAUUCUUACAUCAUUACUCUGGUAAGGGCCCCGUACCAAGCUGGCAUAGUUCUGAUGUGGUCUGGAGGGAGACUUUCUUGCCUUUUAUUUAAAAAAAAAAAUGACCUACAUAUAGCCUCUUUUCAUGCCACAGGGAAAUAAAUAUUUUCCUUUCCUCCAGAUUUUGUUUUAAAUGACAAAGCCAUACUGCCAAGUUAUUAAGAAAGUGUUAGAAAUUAUUAUGAGAUUUUUAAAGGCCACUUAGUACAAGCUCUAAAAAGACUUCUAAAACAGUAGACUUCAAAAACAGGAUCUCUCCUAAAGUAGUGAUAAUCCAUUUGUGGCAAUAAAGAAUCAGUUUAUAGAGUGAUGAUUACUUUCUUGUUUAUAUUCUGACAUUGGAAGUUUAAGUAUCCAGAUCCUCAGUAACCUCAAAUGCAAAAUGAAAUAGUAAUGUCACCGUUUGGGACAGUUCUUCUCACAAUAUCAGAUAUAUGGCAAGUCCUCAGUAAGUACUAGACAAACUUAUGAACGAUAGAACCUUUAAAAUUCGUGACUAGAGCAAUCAUAUACUUAACAGAGCUAAGUGGUUACCUUUACUUCACUCAUAUUCAAGACUGAAAAGAAUUUACACAUAAGCUAGUUUCAAGAUCAAAACUGCGUUUGUCCCUUUCAACAACUGAUACCACACAAACAAGACUUCAUUCUCUAUUUCCCUCCAGUGGCAUCCAAGAAAAACAUAAAAAUUCCAAAUCUCAAAAAUAACAGGUUAAAGAAGAAAAAAAAAGGCCUUAGUGCUCAUAAACUAGAUAUAUAAUUUGACAUGUUUAGAGUGAUAGGAUUAUGUUUCCUAUCAUGAAAUAUUUCAAAUUUUCAUAUAUGGUCAAAAUAGUAUAGUAACUACCAAGCUUUACUUCCAAAUUAUUAUUACUAUUUCCUUUCUUCUGGAGACAGAGUCUCACUUUGUCACGCAGGUUGGAGUGUAGUGGCUUGAUCUCAGCUCACUGCAGCCUCAACCUCUCAUGUUCAAGUGAUCCUCCUGCCUCAGCCCCACAAGUAGCUGGGACUACAGGUGGGCACCACCAUACUAGCUAAUUUUUGUAUUUUUUUGUAGAGACGGGGUUUCAUCAUGUUGCCCAGGCUAGUCUCAAACUCCUGAGCUCAAGCCAUCUAUCUGCUUGCUUCAGCCUCCCAAAGUGCUAGGAUUACAAGCAUGAGCCACUAUGCCCAGCCUUAUUUUACCUUUUGAGAUAUAAUUUACAUAUGGUAAGGUAAACAAAUCUUAAGUCUGAUAAAGUUUUCUCAUAUGUAUUAUAUAUGUUAACUACUAUCCAGAUCAAAAUAUGAGCACACAUUUAUUGCAGCCCACAGGAUUCCCUCGUGACCUUUCUCUCCAAAACAUACUUAUCAUUCUAAUCUCAGAUAGUAUUCCUUUCACCACUAAUAAUCAAAUCCAGCCUUUACUUUCCUGUUUUCUUUAUAGUUUGCCAAUGUCUAUUUCAAUCAUAAGUAUUUUGGCUACAGUGACCCCAUGAAACAGAGAAAGUCUAUGUAACAUGCAAAAGACCUUACAAUUUAGAAUGCAUACAAGCUUCCCAACAUUUUUAAAGGGACAGAAGACUCAGAAUGCUACCGUAAAAGAGAACAAAGGGAAACAUGGAAUUCAUUUUGACUUAAAUCCUAAAGAAAAUACACUAGACUGUUUCUUGAAAAAAGCCUGUAAUGAGUAUAGAUUUCUAAAUCAGUUUUGAGAGAAUAUUUGGCUGAAUAUUUAAACCUAAAUGUUUUUAUUGGCUGUCAGUAGGUAUCUGAGUAAAUCCCAUUCCAAUUGCAUUUUCCUUAAAGUUCACAACCAUCUUAAGGCCAUGCUCCCAUGCCUAGAGGCUGACAACCUUCCUAAAAGAGCUAGAUUCCUACACGGUCUUAGCCCCAGUAUAUACAUACAAAUUAAAAGAGAACCCUAAUCACCACUUUCUCUUGGAGUAACGUCCUAAGUCUGAAUAAUGUACAUAUCAUCACCCUUCGUUAACUGUAGAACUUAGUAUUUCAAUCAAAUGACACAACCUAGCUGAUGUGACAUAUUUAGCAAUGUGCACCACUGUUGAUAUGCUCAUGCAAACCAAGCACUUCUGGGGACAACUGGAGAACAAUGGAGUGAGACAGAAGAUGUAAGUGUAAUAACAAAUGCAACAACCACCACCUUAUCAGAAAGGUUGUUGGAAGCAUUUACUAAGAUAAUACAAAGAAAGGCUGUUACUGUUCUUACCUCACCUCCUCAGACUUACCUGGACUAAGUUAUGACUUGAGAGAAAUGCUCCCCCUCCCCUCACUUCCAAAUCCUGGAGCAGCACAAAUAAGGAUCUGCUUCUAACAGUCAAACUCUCUCUAGUUCAUUUAUAUAACUGAAUAUCCCUGGACGAGUUACAAAGGGGAUAUUUGGAUAAAUUCUUUUAAUCAGUUUGCUUUCAUAUAGCCUAGUUAAGACCUCACUCAGGAAAUAAAAUUUUAAGAAAGUAGUAAGAAAGCCCCAAAAGGGAGCGACCCAGUCCUAAUAACUUUCUAGAAGCAAAAAAGUUAUGCUGAGGGCAUUCUAGGAAGAAAAGCAGCUGGCCCCGGUGGUUCGUGCCUAUAAUCCCAGCUACUCAGGAGGCUGAGGUAGGAGGUUUGCUUGGAAACUAGCCUAAGCAACACAGCAAGACCCCUGUCUCUAAAAAUAAAAGAAAAGGCCCCCAUUUUGCAUGUGGCUUAUAAAGAACUUACAAUUCUCUGUCCUCUAUCCUCACCUCAAGUUCCCAUUCAAGAUACUAGCUAGGUAUUUAUAGUUAGUUCCUUAUAUAUACAUGUUACUCUUGAAGUUAAUCUCACAGAGACUGUACAAAAAUAGAGCAAUUUCCAUAACUGGUUGCUUCUGAUCAGUGUUCAUUUUGGAGACAUCGAUAAUCACCUGCCAAUUACUGGCUAUAUUGUGACUGACAUCUUAUGGAUGCUUUGUUCUCCAAACUGAUUUGUUAAGCUGUAAACUGACUACUUCCUAUGUUAAAACGACUAGCAAGCUAGACCUGUACAACUUUUUCUAUCUGCCUUAAUCUAAAAACUAAAUGUAGUAUCAACUCAACUCAGCAGAUCCGCACCUGCCCCCUGAUUAUCUUGUCAUAAAACCAUCCGUAGGGAGCCAAAGAGGGUACUAUUUAACAAUGACACAAUUGCUUGCAGUAUAACAUUAGCAGUAUAAACAAAAGCAUUUUUCAUUGCUUUUCAAAUCUUAAGAGUUUGAAAAAAGGCUGGGCACAGUGGCUGAUGCCUGUAAUUCCAGCACUUUGAGAGGCCAAGGCAGUGGAUCACUUGAGGUCAGGAGUUCGAGACCAGCCUGGCCAACAUGGUAAAACCCCAUCUCUACUAAAAAUACAAAAAAAAAAAAUUAGCCGGUCAUGGUGGCGAAUGCCUUUAAUCUCAGCUUCAUGGGUGGCUAAGGUAGGAGGAUAGCUUGAACCAGGGAGGUGGUGGUUGCAGUGAACCAAGCUCAUACCACUGCACUCCAGCCUGGACAACGGAGAGAGGUUCCAUCUCAAAGAGAAAAAAAAAAAAAAAGUAAGAGUUUAAAAAAAGACCUAACACCCACCAAAAUUAUGGAUGCCUAUUGCAACUUCCAAAACAGACAAGAUUAUAGGGUGAUUAUUUAUAUCUCAAAAGGAAAUUAUGAGUUAUACAUUAUAUGUAAUUAUACAUACAGUCAAAUGUGUUUAUGUGUCUGUGUGUAUGUAUGUGUGUGUGUGUGUGUGUGUGUGUGUGUGUUUAUGUAUGUAUAUGUAAAUCGUGAUGUGUGACAUUGAAAGAAUGUUCCAAAAAAGGAGCUAUUUCUUACAAAUAGCUACUAAAUGCUGAACCCUGCACCAGGCACUAUUAACCUCUGCAUCUGGACACUGUUUGGCAUGCUGUAUAACUGCUCAUUUUCCCAAAACCAUAAAAAAGCAAAUGCCAUGUGAUUUACUUCUUAUUCCCCCACAACCAGAAUAAAACCCACAUAGUAACAAUAUUGUCCAAUCAAUAUCUAUUAAAUAAACUGAACUGACUUAAUUAUAAAAAGAUAACCUUGAGCAGAGGGAUCAGUGAGACUCAGAAAAUACAUAGUGUUUACAGUAUGAACACACACAAAAAAAACGGAGUGUACAAAGUACAGAGGAAAAAUGAAGUCGCUAAAUAUUUAGGCAAUAAGCAUUGAUAGAUCAACCUUUAUUGAGCUCCACUGUACAAACGAGCCCUUAAAUACUAUGGUAAAGCUCCAGGGGGAUGCCAAAAUAAUACACGGUUUGUCUCCUCUGCUAUAGCCCACUGCAGCCAUAAAUGUUAGCUCUGAAGGGACUACGAGAGUUUCCCACCAUUUGCCUAGAGUUUCCUAACAUAUGAACUCCAAAGCAGUGGUUCUCAAAGUAUGGCCCACAUAUGUUUCCCAGACUCUUCCUGGGAGUCUGAAAAGUCAAAACUAUUUCUAUACUAACUCUAAGACAUUAUUUGCCUUUUUCACUAUGUUGACAUUUGUAAUGAUGGUACAAAGUCAAUGCUGGGUUAAACUGCUGCCCUUGGCAGUAAUUUAGUAGUGUCACCAAAAUGUACCAGUAGUCACUGUAUUUGUCACUGUCACACACUACAGAAAAAAGGAGGGAAAGCCAUUUUAACUUAAUAAUGUCCUUGAUGAAGCAGUAAGAUUUAGUGAUUUUAUUCAAUCUUGACCCUGAGCAAACAUCUUUUAAAAUAUUCUGUGUGACAAAACAGUAGGUACACAUAAAGCACUUCUGCACAGUGGCUGCUUCAAGAAGCAGCACUGGAGUUAUUGUUACGUUGUAAGCUGAACUAGCCCAUUUUUUUCAUUGACUAUCAUUUUACUUACUAAACAAAUUGUGGUUAUUCACACUUGGGUAUCUGAUGGAUAUUUUCUUGAAAAUGAACAAAGUGAGUAUGUCACUUCAAGGAAAACAAGUGACAGUAUUUGUUGCCAAUGAUAACAUUUGAGCUUUUUUUUUUUUUUUUUUUUUGAGAUGGAGUCUCACUCUGUCACCCAGGCUGGAGUGCAAUGGUAUGGUCUCGGCUCACUGCAACCUCCACCUUCCGGGUUCAGGCGAUUCUCCUGCUUCAGCCUCCUGAGUAGCUGGGACUACAGGUGCAUGCCACCACACCUAGCUAAUUUUUGUAUUUUUAGUAGAGAUAGGUUUUCGUUAUGUUGGUCAGGCUGGUCUUGAACUACUGACCUCGUGAUCUGCCCACCUCGGUCUCCCAAAGUGCUGGGAUUACAGGCGUGAGCCACCACACUCAGCCCAACAUUUGAGCUUUUAAGCCAAAAUUAGAAUUUUGGGAUAUUUUUAUCUGUCACUGUGAGCUUCACAGGUUCCAAAUAUUUAAAGAUGUAUCUGAUGAGUUCAAUGAUAUUUACAAACUUAAUUUUUUGAUAUUAUGAAAUGUGUCAAUAUUUAGAAAAUCCGCAUAACUCAGUGAACAAGUAUUUUCCAAAUGACCAAUGUAUGAUGUCACAAAAUCAUGCUUGGGUAAAAGAUCCAUGAAAAAUGCAAGAUAGACAAAUGAAUUUUAAUAAAAUCGAGUAUGAAAAGUUCAUUGAUACAGUUUCUGAUUCCAUACCGCAACUAACCUUUGUUUUUUUGUUUUGUUUUGUUUUGUUUUUUGUUUUGUUUUGAGAGGGAGUUUUGCUCUUGUUGCCCAGGCUGGAGUGCAAUGACAUGAUCUUGGCUCACUGCAACCUCCACCUCCUUGGUUCAAGCGAUUCUCCUGCCUCAGCCUCCCGAGUAGCUGGGACUACAGGCGCCCACCACCAUGCCCAGCUAAUUUUUUCUUUUUGUAUUUUUAGUAGAGACAGGGUUUCACCAUGUCGGCCAGGCUGGUCUCGAACUCCUGACCUCAGAUGAUCCACCCACCUCGGCCUCCCAGAGUGCUGGGAAUACAGGCAUCAGCCAUCGCGCCUGGCCGCAACUAACCUUAAAACUACCAAGUAUUAAGAUCUAGUACGGUAUCAAAAGAAGAAUAUGCAAAAUUGUCUGAACUGACUAUUAAAAAAUCUUUUUUUAUAUAUCUACGUAAAACCAGAUUUUCUUCAUAUACUUUAACCCAAACAGUAUAUUGUAACAGACAUAUGCAGAUAUGAGAAUUCAGCUAUCCUUUAUGAAGUCAGACAUUAAAGAGAUCUGCAAAAAUGUAAAACAAUGUCAUUCUUCUCACCAAUUUUUAAAAAAAUAGCUAUUUUUACAGCUUUAUUUUAAAAUGUUACUUAUGUUAAUAUAUAAUGGUUUAUCAUUUUUAUUUAAUCUUUAAAUGAAUUAAAAUACUUUUAAGUUUCUCUGUUUAAUUUCUAGAAAGUAGCUAUAGCCCAUAUAAAUAAAAGCUCUUGGGAAUCUCAAUGAUUUUUAUGAAUGUAAGGGGGUCACUGGGACCAGAAAGUUUGAAAAACAUUGCUCUAUGGACAAUAAUUCUUUCUUUGUUUGGCAAGAGAUCUUAGGGGUCCUGAUUCUGUUUGGUUUGGGCUGGUAUAAUUUUUUAUGAAAAAGUAUGGAAAUUGAAGUAACAUAUAGCACAGUCAAGACUUGAAUCCAAGGACUGGCACAGUGGCUCAUGCCUGUAAUCCCAGCAUUCUGGGAAGCUAAGGUGGGAGGAUCGCUUGAGUCCAGGAGCUCAAGACCAGCCUAGGCAACACAAUGAGACCCUAUCUCUGCAAAAAAUUUAAAAAUUAGACAUGGUGGUGCAUACUUGCGAUCCCAGUAACUUGGGAAGCUGAGGUGGGAGGAUCACUUGAGCUCAGGAGGUUGAGGCUGCAGUGAGCUGGGAUCACGCCACUACACUCCAGCCUGGGGCAUAGAGUGAGACCCUCCAAGACAGAAAAGAAAAGAAAGGAAGGGAAAGGGAAAGGGAAAAGGAAAAGGAAAAGGAAAAGGAAAAGGAAAAGACAAGACAAAACAAGACUUGAAUUUGGAUCUCCUGACUUCAAUUUUAUGUUCUUUCUACACCACAAUUCCUCUGCUUACUAAGAUGAUAAUUUAGAAACCCCUCGUUCCAUUCUUUACAGCAAGCUGGAAGUUUGGUCAAGUAAUUACAAUAAUAGUAACAAAUUUGAAUAUUAUAUGCCAGGUGUUUUUCAUUCCUGCUCUCACUUAAUUCUCACCACUCUGAUAUAAAUACAAUUGCUGCCGGGUGUGGUGGCUCAUGCCUGUAAUCCCAGCACUUUGGGAGGCCAAGGCAGGUGGAUCACCUGAGGUCAGGAGUUCAAGACCAGCCUGGUCAACAUGGUGAAAUCCCAUCUCUACUAAAGAUACAAAAAUUAUCUGGGCAUGGUGGCACCACCUGUAAUCCCAACUACUCAGGAGGCUGAGGCAGGAGAAUCACUUGAACCCAGGAGGUGGAGGUUGCAGUGAGCCAAGAUCGCACCAUUGCACUCCAGCUUGGGCAACAAGAGUGAAACUCCAUCUCAAAAAUAAAAAAAUAUAAAUAAAUACAAUUACUCACUAACCUUCAUUUUACAGAUGAAAACCUGAGGUUAAACCACUUGCCAAAAGUCACACGGCUACUAAAUGGCAGAACCAGGAUUUGAAAACAAUACUUCUAAUAGAUGUAUUAGCAAAAAAGUCUCACAACUGCCAAUCAAAACAUUUGUGUGGAUACUAGCAAAGUGGCAUUUUUGGAAACAGAGCACCUAUGACUCUUGCCCAGUGUGCCUUCAAAUAUAGACAGAACAAAACACUAGCCUCGAGUAUCGCCAUACAAAUUUAGUUCUACACAGACAACAGCAAGAAAACAAGCAAAUAGGGAGAUGUGCUAGGUAUGACCAAGCUGCCUCUCUUCCUUACCCAUCCAGCAUUUCUACCAUCACCCACUAAAAAGGAGUGACAGAAGUCAAGGAUGAAGGAUGCAUCACCAACAGCCGGGACAGUGAAAACUCUUGGCAGGUGUUCUCUAAGCUCUAACUCCCUGCCUAUGCAAACUAAACCCCAAGCCAAGUCCUCUUGGCUUUAUCACACUGAGUGUUCACAAGAGCCAUCAUUAAUGUCCAAGCUCCACUUUUUCCAGGCUGAUGACAUGUGUCAGCCCUUGAUUCCUGGUGCCACUCUUGCCUGUCAACUCAGGAAAGGCUUCUGUAAUGCCUUUGGCUUUUCUGAAAUACCUUCAAGACACAAGGCAGCAGCUGACACCAACUCUCUCCUGAGGAUGGACACUUGGCCAGGAGCCCAAGCUGAAGUGGAUUAGGAGGUUCUUGAUCUUUAUUAAAAUCAUUCCUACCUUCUUACUGGCAAUUAAAAUAAAUUCCUCCCCAGAGAGCAGCCAGGGGUUCCUCGAGCCUCUUCCAUCCAGUGGUAGUCAUCUUUGAUUAAAGAAAAGCGGUAAAGUGUAGCAGCAGCUGAUAAAUGUCAGACCCUGGAGGACCAUCACAGAGUUUAGAUCACUUUACAGCUAUUUCUCAUUUCAUACCAUGGACGGAUUUUAACCCAACACCACUCAGUACUGCUUACUUAGUUAAAUGCUUCAGGAAAGCCUCCCAAAUCCAAGUCAAUGGUCCAUUUACAAUAGUUUUGGGUGCAUCCCUGAGGCUAAGAUGUUUGACUCAUCAGGCAGAUUUUGACUUGAAGGCUAUAUCAUCUAUCUUGCAGAUGGCCAAUAGGAAACUUCUGCAAAAAAAAAAAAAUUCUUUUUCAUGAUGAAGAGACAGAGUGGUAUAAUUAUGAUAAACACACAUACAUGUAGUCAAAGAUUUCAAUUCUGACCCUGCUGUGUGACUUAGAAUCUUCAUUUCCCUUCUAAAUCUGUUUCUUCAUCUGUUAAAUUAAGAUAUUUAGCCUAAAUAAGAGAUUCCCAAAUGUCCACUUUUUAAAUUACUGCACCAGAAUAAUAUGAACGCUUUUGAAAAAUACAGAAUUUACUCCUAGAAAAGCUGAUUUACUAAGUCUGGGAUGAUGCCUAGGAAUCUGCACUUUUAGCAGGCUACAUUUCCCAUCGCUACCACUUUUUCUGGGAGGAGUUGGGGGAGACAGGGUCUCACUCCGUCGCCCAGGCUGGAGUGCAGUUGCACAAGCACGGCUCACUGCAGCCUUGACCAAGUCUUGGGCUCAAGCCAAUAUUGCCACCUCAGCCUCCUAUGUAGCUAGAACUACUGGCAGACAUCACAAUGCCGGGCUAAUUUUUUCAAUUUUUAGUAGAGAUGGGGUCUCCUUAUGUUGCCCUGGCUGGUCUCAAACUCCUGGGCCCAAGUGAUCCUCUUGCUGUGGACUCCCAAAGUACUGAGAUUACAGGUGUAAGCCACUGUGCCCAGCCUACACUUUUAAUUCUGAUGCAAAGCAGGUUUGGAAACCAUGAGACUAAAUGACCUCUAACACUCCUGAUAGUCUGAAAGUUACAAAAUUGUAGGUUGAAACUUAUUUUCUAUUUAUUCAACCCAGAAUUAUUUCCCCAUUCAUGAUUAGCAUUCCCACUCAAACAUCGGCAUUGUCAAUUUCAGGUUAGCAAUGGAGAGAUAGGUCCAAAAACAAUAAACCAAGUAUCAAUAGUUUGCCCAAACUAGUACAGUAUUAUUUCAUUUAUGAAAGUAUGAGGUAGAUCUAAGCAUAGCUUUUCUACAGAACACACAUUUUUAAAUAAAAGUUUUAAGACAUCAUAUUUUGGAAAAACUCAACUAUCUGCUGGAAAUAACCAAGAAAGGCAACAUUAAAAAGCAUUUUCCCUGUUAUGAAUAACUCAAAAUAGUUAUGAAAUGAAUAUGUCUACUUACCAAUAACUUACAAAGCCUUAACACAAAUCUAUACUCUACCUGAGGCAAUAAUAAACUUUCUAAGAACAGAGCUCAAGUUUUUAAAGUAUAAAUUACUAUAAGACUAAAAUUAACCCAAUAAACAAAAAUAAGUCAGAGGAAGAAAUAGUCUUAUAUCACUGAUACAUCAUCUGCGCUUCAUAAUUGUAAAAAAGGAAAGAUUGAGUUCUUUGGUAACUGUUCUUGUUUAUUUCAUUAACUGGUUGUUGCAAAACACACGCCUAUUGGCUUUAAAGAACUUUUAAAAUCUCGGCCAACACUUUUCACACACUACAAUACAAACCAAGAUUCUCUCCAGUUCAUUCUUCAAUUUCCAUGAAUAUCACCUACUGCAUGAUAUUGGUUCCUAUUGCUUUUACAGCUUUAUAUUCCCAACUUAUUAUUUCAGCUUAACUUGAACAAUAAUCGCUGGUAGAGUAACUCAGAAGAGUUUUUCACUGAUUACAAAUAUCCUGAUUUACCAUGAAAAAAAACGAGUCCUGCUUCCUGUGGGUUUGCAAAAUAAUCUAAAAUAGUAAUACCUCAAACACGUGAAGUCACUGCAACAAGGGGAUGGAGAAAUCAUGUGCUUCUUUAAAAGUCUUUUUUUUUUUUUUUUUGUGACAGGGUCACUCUGUGUUCCCCAGGCUGGAGUGCAGUGGCACAAACACGGCUGACUGCAGCCUCAACCUCCUGGGUUCAACUGAUCCUCCUGCCUCAGCCUCCUGAGUAGCUGGAGCCACAGGCACACACCGCCACGCUCAGCUAAUUUUUUAUUUUUUGUAGAGAUGGGGUUCUUGCCAUGUUGCCCAGGCUGGUCUUGAAAUCCUGGGCUCAAGCAAUACCUCCCUCCUCGGCCACCUAAAGUGCUGGGAUUACAGGCAUGAGCCACUGUGCCAGGCCAAAAUAUUUUGAAAGGCUUUGAAGUAUGUGUCCCAUUUGAAGAGAAAUACUGCCCUAGCACUAGGCCAAUUUGCUAUCUCAGUUACUUGGCCUGUCCACAUCCUUUUUUUUUUUUCUUUCCUUUUAAGAGAUCAGGUCAGGUCACACUCUGUCACUCAGGCUAGAGUGAAGUGGCGGCACAAUUAGAGCUCACUGUAGCCUCAAACUCCUGAACUCAAGCAAUCCUCCACCUCAGCCUCCUAAAUAGCUGGGACUACAGGCACAUGCCACCACAGCCAGCUAAUUAAUUAUUUAUUUAUUUAUUUAUUUAUUUAUUGGUAGAGACAAGGUCUUGCUAUGUUGCCCAGGCUGGUCUCAAACUCCUGGCCUCAAGUGAUACCCCUAUCUCAGCUCCCAAAGUGCUGGCAUUAUACAUCAGCCACCAUGCCCCCAACAUCCCAAACAGCUAAAGUAACCUGAUAUAAAGUUGCCAUGUAAAAUUUUAAAAUGUUCCAAGCUACUGAGUUUAAAUUUCUAAUUCUACCUCUCAACUCCUUGGUAAAACCUUAGGCAGACUAAAUAUAAGAAUGACCAUUAUCCCAUAUACAACUUAACCUUUGAGAUUCUUUUUUUCUCCUUCCUAACACUCAAGUAAACACUCUAGAUUCAGCAGGCUCCUUUAUGACCAGUACCUUAAAACAACACAUUAUUUUGGCCUAACUUAAAACCAGAAUUAGUAGUCAAAGUGCUGGGAUCAGAUGCAAACCAAAUGGUUGCUGGGAAAGUGGGGGCAGAUGGGAAACUUGCAAAAUAAGAUAGCUAAAUGCAUUCAAAUAUUUGUAUAACUUCUCAUUUGACAAUUUCUUUUAGAAGAGGAUCUGUUCCAAGACUCCCAGCAGACGCCUGAAACUUCGAAUAGUACACAACUCCAUAUAUAUUAUGUUUCUGCCUAUACAUACAUACCUAUGGCAAAGUUUAAUUUAUAAAUUAGGCACAGUAAGACAGUAACAAUAACUGAUAAUAAAAUGGAACAAUUAAAACAAUAUGGUAUAAGUUGGCUGGGCACAGUGGCUCAUGCCUGGAAUCUCACCACUUUGGGAGGCCUAGGUGGGAGGACUGUUUGAGGCAUGGAGUUUGAGACCAGCCUGGGGAACAUAGUGAGACCCUGUCUGUACAAAAAAAAAUUUCUAAAUCAGCCAGGCAUGGUGGCAUGCACCUGCAGUUCUAGCUACUCAGGAGGCUGAGGCGGGAGGAUUACUUGAGCCCAGGAGUUUCAGGAUACAGUGAGCUGUGACUGCACCACUGCACCUCAGCCUGGGCAACACAGCAAGAGACCCUGUCUUUAAAAAAGAAAAAAAAAAAAGUUAUGUGAAUGUGGUCUCUCUCUCAGAAUAUCUUAUUGUACCGUACUCACCUAUUUUUGAAAGUAACUGAAACCACAGAAAGCGAAAACGCAUAUAAUGAGGGACUACUAUAAUUGUGUAAGCACAGAGUUACCAAUUAAUGGUUGGUAUCUGCAAUUGGUACAGAACUUGGUGAAGUCUAAAUAAUUACUUUUCCUGGAACCACUGCUACUGGGUUAUACAUUAUGCUUCAGGGAAAGGUGAUGGCAAGAGUAUUCACUGCUACUGGCCAAGUAGCCACUCGUAACAAGAUGGAGAUCAAAGCUUCCAAAAAAAGCAACAUCGUAUCAGUGACAAGACUAGAUUGAGAAAUCCUGCUCUAUAGCUAUGGUCAGAAUUUCCUAAUCUGAAGUUCACAGACAAACCCACCAAGGAGGUGAUAAAUGAGUUCCUGGAUUCCAUAAUUGAAACUGCUUUCAAAAUGUGUUUAUGUACAUGUAUUUAGGGAGAGAAUCCAUAGCGGAUUUUUAAAUAUUAUCAUCUAAUUUAAUUAGAUAGGGAGAGUUUUAAAUAAUGUUAUCUAAUUUAAUCCUCACAAUCAAUGAAGAAGGUACUAAUAUUCUCAUUUUAUAGACUCAGGAAACUAAAACGUUAUGGGAAAUGAAAACCUUACCAAAAAAGUGGUAGAGCAUUAAUUCCAAAUAUGUCCUUAAAACACAUAUAUGUACACAUACAAUACAACAGCUAGUCAGAGAUUGUUUUAACUAUAAAAGAACAGGUUUUUUAUUAGCAUAUAUGGCCUGGAAGCCAAAUACUGGGGAAAACAAGCAAUUUUAUUUAUUAACAUAGAAAUAAUAGUUGUAAAUUAUCUUAACAACUUAAAUACCUUUAAAAUAACAUAUAAAUCUCCAUUUUAUAGAUAAGGAAGCAAAGAAAUGGAGAGGUUAAGUAAUUUGUCAAAGAUCACAUAGCUAGUAAAAUUCAAAGUCACGAUUCUGGCUCCAAAAUCUGCUCUUUACUAUGCUGUAAAUACUGCUUCUCCAAACAUUUAAUACAUGAAAUUUUUUAACUAUGGUCAUUUUAAAGGGAAAAAAAGCAAGAAGGCCAAAGAAUCAUCCAAUUUGGAAAAGUUUAUUAUAAUAAGGUAUUUCAUUUAUUCUAUUCUCGCACAUAUGAAACAAAAGCAAUGGGAGACAAGAGAAGCAAUUACAUUUGCAUGCUCUUUCAGAUACAUAACCUUAUUGGAUUUUCAUGGCUGUGUGUGCAGGAAGGGCAAGUGCUAUUUGUCUCACAUUUUAAAGAUGAGUUAACUGACACUCUGAGACAUUAAUCUCACUACUCACCAUUACCUAAACAUUUCUGCCUCUAAGAUUUCCUGUACAUGGUUUUCCAUUGGAAUUAGCCCCCUUUCUCUGUCUAGUAAAAAUUCAACUAACCUUUUAAAGCUCAAACCAGGUUAACCUACUUAGAUAUACCUUUCCUGGCACUUGUAGGCAGAAUUAACCCCUCUUUUCUCUGUUCUCCCUUAAUAUAGUUCACACCAAUCCACCAGGCAUCCUCUUUGUCAUCAGUUAUAUUUACGUGUAGCUCCCUAGUCAGAUAGUGGGCUCCAGGAUGGCAAGGGUUUUAUAUACAGGAAAAACAAUCCCUAGGAUUCUACUGCCGAAUCAGUAAAAGGAUGAAUCAGAAAACUAGCACAGUUUGGCAAAAAGAAACAUGAAUUCACACUGACAUGCUGUUGUUAUCUUCAUAACUUAAGAAUUUAUCCUCACGGCUAGCAGCAUUACCCCCAAACACUUAUAGUGAUGCUUCCUGCAUGGUGCUUGGGAAACACCUAGGCAGACGGCACCUGAGACGAUGACUCCUCUUCUAUUAGCUACUAAUCACUCAAUUUUAGUUAUGUGCUGCUGAAGCAAACAUGCUACUAAUCAUCCAGAUACAUUGUUUUAUUGAGUUUAUGCUUAUUUCUUCCAAGUAUAUCAAGAAGUCCCAGGAAGACUAUGAAAACAUUUACAUCCCCAUGUUGGAGACAUGUGGGUUUCAAUAUUUCAUGGUUUCUCUGGAAUAUUGGAAACCACCAAUAUUUCGUGGUUUCUCUGGAAAAGAAAGGAGGUAUGUGAAAUUAAGGAAUGGCAUGGUGAGUUCUAACAAACUCAAAACCAAUCUAAAUCAAGAGUUAAAUAGUUGGAUUGGCUUGUUAAAUGUCAGCCUAUAAUUUUUUUUUUUAGAGACAGAUUCUCACUCUGUCACCCAGGCUGGAGUGCAGUGGUGGAUCACAACUCACUGUAACCUCAAACUCUUGGGCUUAAGGAAUCCUCCCUCCUCAGCCUCCGAAAGUGCUGGGAUUACAUGUGCCACCCUGCCUGGUCACUCUUAGCUAAUUUAACCCUUAACUUUUUUUAACCCUUAGACUUUAUCCUUGCACCGAGUAUAUAAACCCCUUAGCCAAACUCACUUAAAAAACCCAAAUGUGUGCUCAAACUUGCUUGAUGAUAAAAACUAAAGAACUUAAAGGAAUGAGGAUGAUGAAGGCCAUUAUGCCAUGAUACACAAUUAUUUCAAAUACAGUGGGCAACACCCCAUGUCAUUCCAGAAACCUACCUUUCUGUAGUUUUUCAAGUCUGUGAAAAGCAUUCUUUUUAGAAUGCUAUGAAUUUAAGGAAUAAUAUUUUGUAAGCAUCUAAAGGUUUGGUGAAGUCAAAAUCAGUAUUUUUUUUAAAGUCUAAAUAUUUAUCCAAAUAGUAUAAGGCUUGACAUCGCUUUAUAUUAUUGGACCAAGAGGAAGACUUUUUAAAAUAAACCCAUUAAAAAGUUUUAAACAUAUUACACAGUUACAGUUGCCUGAUUUUUUGUGUGUGUAUACAAUUUACUGUCAUAACACUGAAAACUCAACAAAGCUGGCUAAUGCAGAGUUUUGACAGAGGGUGAAUUAAACUGAUAUAGAAGGUAAACAGUUUACAUUCAAACCUAAAUCUCAGUGGUUGAUAUUUUUUCUUUUAACGUGUACCAUUUGGCUGCUUUAAAAAUGAAUUUGAGACCAGUCAGCCUUUAGUAUUUAAACCUAAAGCAAAUAGUAAUAACUAUCCCCAUUUAGAGAUUAACUUCAAUUCAGCAGGCAGUUCUGUAAGCCCUUUUCCUAUUAAGUAUUCCUAGAUCUGUCCCAUUGUAAAUCACAUAUUCUGAAGAUUCAUAUUAUUAAUUCAUUUUUCAAAUUUUUCAUCACAGACAUUCAACAGAAUCAAAAAUAACCACUAUGUCCUAUAAUGUACUGGUAUCGUUUCAGCCAGAACAAAUGACAUCUGACAUUUUAGUUACACUCUGUGUUCUCAACUAAGAAGAAAUGCAAGCUUUACAUUAGGUGGUGGGUUUUUGGUUUAUUUUUUGCUUUUUCAAUAUGGAAAAUAGCUUGUGGACUAUCACUAACACCUCUGUGGUAACUUAGUAAUGCAGGAUCUCAGCAAAGGAGAUCAUCAAUCAUGGAGGUCGAGGUUUUUCAUCUUCCCCUAUGACCUCACCUAUAGACCUACCUGCUAUUAUUAUAGGCAAACAAGUAGAAGAAAUUUACAUGUUUGACUUUGGCUCUGCAGUGAUGGGUCUACUCCUAGAUAUCAACAGUAAGUUCUGUAGUAGACAACAGAAGCAGUAUGAUGAGUGAGCACUGGAAACAUGAAGUCCAGUAUUCAAAUUCUGGCUUAUAACCUUGGCUCCUGGCAAUGUAACUUUAGGCAAAUCACUUCAAGUUUUUUCAUCAGGAAAAUGUGGGUUGUUGAGAAUUUAAUGAGAUAAAAUAUACAAAUCCUAGUAUAUAGCAGAUCCCCAAUAUAUGUUAAUCUCUUACCCUUGUUAACAAUUAAAAUACUACUGCAAAAUCAGGUAUUUUACAUUUUUAGAAUCACAAAAUAAUACCAUUCAAAGACAUUUUCUCAGACAUUCAUUUGAGUCUGCUUGUACAAAUUACUGCACAGUCUAUCCCACAGUUCAUUAGUUCUCUGCUGCACACAAAUUGAUUUUAUAAUUUAAAUACUCUCGACUUGAAACCCAGAGAGGAAUGUAAGAGCAUCCAUCAGCGGUGGUCUCACUGCUCACUGGUUCUUGGGAUGUGGAUGGGAGAAUGAAGAAGGGCUAUCAGGCCAGCCUUCAGAGGACUCCAAGGAACAUUCAACGCUGUCGGUGAGUUUGGGAUUUGAAAAAACCACUGACCGUUGACUGUACCUUGGGGUCCUUACAGACGACACUACAUUUCCUGAAGCAAAAGAGCAAGCUGUACCUUCACAUGUCACAUGAGUUCACCAGAAAUGGUCCUGCAAUCCCCCAAAUGUGGUCCAGUGAAUUUUAUUCCUACUGCUCACUGUUCCUUGCUUUCUGUUGUGUGUUUUAUUAUUAUUUGUUUGUUUUUACAAAAAAAGUGUUUCAUUUCAACAAGGUAAGGAGCAGUCCAUGAUGAUAUCUAAUGUACCUACAUGUCUCCUAGAUAUGCACCAUUCUGGUGAGAAACAGGACGUAGCAAGUAAAAAUUUAUUAAAAAUACGUAUUUUGUUUUGGAAUAAAAUCCAGUUAAAUAAUUACUCCCAUUUCUCCCACAUCCUCUCAAAAUUUUUAAUUAGGGGCAAGGGGAGGAUUUAAUAAGCAAAAAUAGCACAAAAUUAUCCAAUUGUGACAGUUCUUAUCACAUUUCACUUUGAAUUAUAGUUAAUAUGGUUAAUUUUUGAUAUCCCAGUUAGAGCAUGAGCUAUUGCCUUACUAGUGCCCACAUAUCCCCACAUAUGCUUAUUUAAAUGUUUGCUAAAUUCAAGCAAAAACUUAGCCCUGGAGUCAGUCAGAUCUGGGAUGAAUCUUGGCUCAAGCCCUUAACUAGUUAUUUGACCCCCUAAGCAAGUGUCUCAGUUUUCUCACAUAUAAAACAGAGGCUAAGAGUACCUAUCAUGGAGUUUUGAGACUCAAUGAGAUAAUAUAUAAGGUGCUUUGUACCAUUACUAGCCCACAGCAAAUGCUCAAUAUAUGUAAGCUGUUAUUAUUAAACUCCAACAUAAUCUGCUAAUUUACCUCAAAAAAGCACUCAUACUUCUCAGUUCAAAACAAAGAGGAAAAGCAGGUCCCUCAGCUGUGGUUUACAGGUACUAAUAUGCAAGCACUGCCUGUGUGGCGCAGUGCUACCUGUGAGGUUCUCCAAGCACUCCUUCCUUCUCUGAACCACAGCUUCCUCAUCUGCAAUAACCUCCCAGCUCCAAUGUCAAUGUUAUGGACACCUGUGUGGGCCCUCAAUCAUGCAGAUGGCUGGUUACUAAGGGAGAAGCCAGACACACAGACUUCAAAGAACUGAGAUGGAAAAGAAGAGCCAGGAGUCAGCCAGGGAGGGCAAAGGCAACCCCACCAACUGAAAACACUGAUGGCUGCACUCAACAUUCAUUGCUGUCGGUGGGUUUGAGUCUGAAUCAACUCACUGAUCAAUGAAUGCAAACUGCGGACCAAACAACCCAAAGGAAGCAAAAGCAUGUGCAGAGAGUCGCCUGAGUGCAGCAGCUACUGCUGUGAGUGGGAGCUGCUACUAUUUCCAAAACACUAGCUAAAGCUUUUCUUGUUCUCCUUGGUUCUAACAUGGAGUAAGUUCUCUAAAUUCCUAGUACUUUUCUCCUUUUUCAAUAGUCUAGAUUUAAGGAAAUGAUAUUUUAUAGGAAGAAUUAAAUACAUAUCUGGAUAUCACAUCACAUUUUAAAAAUCAGUACAUUCAGAAUUUCUAAACAGAAUCAUAUGCUUAUUAUUUAGAAAUUCAAAUACAAAAAUAUACAAAGUAAAAAUUGAAAAUCCCUUCAAUCAUCAUCUGCAAUCCAUUUCCUCGGAGGAAAACAUGUAUAAUUAUAAUAAACUUAUUAAGAUAAUAAAUAUCAUAACUAGAAUUUAUUUUAUAUCCUUGAAGACCUUUAUCCAUACAUACACAGAUAAAUAGCUGUAAUUUUGCAUGUUUUGGGGGGAGAGUGGCUUAGACAAAAAUAAGCUCAUUUUUACCUAUUGUUCUAUAAUCUAUUUUGUUAUUCAGCUAUAUAUCAUAGACUUCCACAACAGUCUUUUAUGUACUCGUCAUUCUUUUAAAUGGCUAUAUAGUAUGACUUAAUAUGAAUGUUCUGGUUAUUAUUCAGAUGUACAUCAAUAUUCUCUUUUGACAAAAACUAUGAGGCUCAUUCAUUCUAACCUUUGCAAACCAUGUCCCUCAAACAGGAAAAACACCUAAGUGAGAUAGAAGAUGUACAUUUUUCUUAACAAAAAAUUUAAAUGUAGUAUCAACUCUCUAAAUCCUGUAACAUGAGAUAAGCCACUAAAUCCCAUGUUAAAGAAAGAAAAACAAGGCCCUUGGUCAUGAAUAAUUUAUCAUACACUUAAGUCUAAGAAGAAGCAGAUUCUCAUAGCAAAAGUCAAAUAAGACAGUAAGAGAAGAGUCUUGUCAAAUUAGCCUUGACAAUUAAGCAAGCCUUAAUUUGACAAGGCUUUCCUGUCAAAUUAGGAAGGAGAAGUGAUGGGGUAAUGAGACAAGAACCAGAAAGAGAAAUCAAAGCCAAAAGAAAAAUCUAAAGAAAACUAUGAGAGUUCAGAGAAAAUAUCAGGUUCAAGCCAGUGUUUCCCAAACUUCUUGUACACCAGAAUCAUCUAGAGUUGCUUUUAAAAUGGCAAAUUCCUGAGCCCUACUCUAGACGAGGUGAUUUUGGGUCACUGGAAGCUGGAAGCAAAGUAAAUAAAGUUCACUAGCUUAACAUCGGCUUCCUGCCCCCAUCCCACCACCACAUUUCAUGUCAUCCACUUUUCAACUAUUGCCCAACCUUUUGUGUCACCACCUGAAAUCGCCACUAUUCUGCUGAGUGCAGACAGGUAGAGUCACAUUUGUGCUGCUUUUAAGUAUCUCCAGACUACAUAAAAUUUUGCACCAUGUUUGGUGGCCAAAUAUACAUCAAAUUGUGUCUGAUGUUUUAUGGAAAUGAAUGGAUUUGGAUUUACGCUAUCUAAAAAACUAAAACCUACCCAAAGAAAUUACCAAAAGGUUUUUUUGUGUGUGUUUUUCUUUCGUUUGUUUGUUUUUUUGAGACAGUCUUGCUCUGUUUCCCAGGCUGGAGUACAGUGAUGCGAUCUCGGCUCACUGCAACCUCUGCUUCCUGGGUUCAAGUGAUUCUCGUGCCUCAGCCUCUCAAGUAGCUGGCCCGCCACCACACCCAGUCAAUUUUUGUGUUUUUAGAAGAAAUGUGUUUUUAGUAGAGCCAUGUUGGCCAGGCUGGUCUCAGACUCCUGACCUCAAGUGAUCCGCCCGCCUCGGCCGCCCAAAUUGCUGGGAUUAUAGGCAUGAGUCACCGCGCCCGGCCCGAGGGGGUCUUUAUAGAAGAGUUUUUUGUGAGACUGGUAGACACACAGAAGGUACUCCACGCAGUCUUGUUUUUCAAGAUGCUGUGCAUUCUAGGCAUUUAUUUUUAACCAAUUAUUUCCAAAAUUUCUGAAAACAUUAGAAAAGAAUGUCUGACACGUACUUUGAAAAAUGUACACUUGAACAAGCA
rnacentral:lncRNA from 1 species